UAAGCACCUCGUUAGGCGAGGCGUCUACAUGGAUAUAGGCCACUGACCCCGAACGUCGAGAGACGCCCAGGGUCAGGACAGCUCCUCCCGGCUUAAGGGUUGAGCCCAAGUGGCUUCCGGAUUCCGGAUACGCCGUGUAGUGCCGAAGCUCUGACGAGUGGGGUGCGGG
rnacentral:sRNA from 1 species